rnacentral:rRNA from 1 species
UACGGGGGGGGCAAGCGUUGUUCGGAAUUACUGGGCGUAAAGGGCUCGUAGGUGGCCAACUAAGUCAGACGUGAAAUCCCUCGGCUUAACCGGGGAACUGCGUCUGAUACUGGAUGGCUUGAGUUCGGGAGAGGGAUGCGGAAUUCCAGGUGUAGCGGUGAAAUGCGUAGAUAUCUGGAGGAACACCGGUGGCGAAGGCAGCUUCCUGGACCGAUACUGACGCUGAGGAGCGAAAGCCAGGGGAGCAAACGGG